GUGCUCACUUCGGUAGCACAUAUGCUAAAAUUGGAACGAUACAGAGAAGAUUAGCAUGCCCCUGUAAAGUGUUCCAUAUUAAAAAAAAAAAAAAAAGUAAAUAAAU